rnacentral:SRP_RNA from 1 species
GCCAGGCGUGGUGGUGCACGCCUGUAAUCCCAGCUACUUGGGAGGCUGAGGCAGGAGAAUUGCUUGAGCCCGGGAGGUGGAGGUAGCAGUGAACCGACAUCGUGCCACUGCAUUCCAGCCUGGCCGACAGAGCAAGACUCUGUCUCAA